UGGGGAAUCUUGCGCAAUGGCCGAAAGGCUGACGCAGCGACGCCGCGUGUGGGAGGACGCCUUUCGGGGUGUAAACCACUGUUGCCCGGGACGAACAGCUUCUUUCGAGGAGCCUGACGGUACCGGGUGAGGAAGCACCGGCUAACUCCGUGCCAGCAGCCGCGGUAAUACGGGAGGGGUGCAAGCGUUGUCCGGGAAAUCAUUGGGCGUAAAGGGCGCGUAGGUGGCCCGGUCAGCGUGCGGUGAAAGCUCGGGGCUCAAACCCCGAGUCGGCCGUGCGAACUGCCGGGCUCGAGCACUGUAGAGGCAGGCGGAAUUCCGGGUGUAGCGGUGGAAUGCGUAGAGAUCCGGAAGAACACCGGUGGCGAAGGCGGCCUGCUGGGCAGUGGCUGACACUGAGGCGCGACAGCGUGGGGAGCAAACAGGAUUAGAUACC
rnacentral:rRNA from 1 species